AUGAACGCUGGCGGCGUGCCUAAUACAUGCAAGUCGAGCGAACAGACGAGGAGCUUGCUCCUCUGACGUUAGCGGCGGACGGGUGAGUAACACGUGGAUAACCUACCUAUAAGACUGGGAUAACUUCGGGAAACCGGAGCUAAUACCGGAUAAUAUAUUGAACCGCAUGGUUCAAUAGUGAAAGACGGUUUUGCUGUCACUUAUAGAUGGAUCCGCGCCGCAUUAGCUAGUUGGUAAGGUAACGGCUUACCAAGGCAACGAUGCGUAGCCGACCUGAGAGGGUGAUCCGCCACACUGGAACUGAGACACGGUCCAGACUCCUAAGGGAGGCAGCAGUAGGGAAUUUUCCGCAAUGGGGGAAAGCCUGAAGGAGCAACGCCGCGUUGGUGAUUAAGGUCUUCGGAUCGUAAAACCCUUUUAUUAGGGAAGAACAAAUGUGUAAGUAACUAUGCACGUCUUGACGGUACCUAAUCAGAAAGCCACGGCUAACUACGUG
rnacentral:rRNA from 1 species